rnacentral:lncRNA from 1 species
UUGUUUCAGUGCUAAUACCUGCCUAUUUUGUUACUUUCUUACUGUAUGGAUGUCGUAGAUAGUAAAUUUUGUUUGCUUGGAUUCUCUAGUGCCUUCCUUUAAACGCGAUAGUAAGUUUAUGUCGGAAGGCUGGAAACGAGAUGUAAUUCUUUCUAUUAGUGUAGUCUAAUAGAUGGCUUGUCUUUUCUUUAGUGGUUCAAGAAAAUCUAAAGGACCGUUUUUGUUUGUAAUGCGGUUCGUUUUGUCAUUGACAUCUCCUAGAUCUACAACAAACUUGUGGGCUUAAACAGUAAUCCAUUAAAUGAAACUGAGAUUUAGAGAUUGAACUAAGAAGAAGAUAGAUGACUUAUUUUGUUUCUUCCGGAUCGCUUGCUACUUAUAAAUGAAUACUAAACAUUGGAUGGUUGUAAGUACAUGCAUCCAAUAUGGCUUAUUAGGUUAAAAGGGCGGUGCUCCGAUUCUUUCACAUUACAUCAUAGCCAACUUUAUAAAACUUAGUCCUCCGAAUCCGCACUCAUAACACUCAUGAUCCCCGUAAGUUGGUAACACAUGGGAACAUCAACAACAAUAACAACAAACCUAGUCUAAUUCCACAAGUGGGGUCUAGGGAGGGUAGGAUGUACGUUGAGACCUUACCCUUACCUUUGUGCGGUAGAGAGACUGUUUACGAAAGACCCUUGACUCAAAAGAAGUGAAAUCAAAGCAAUAUUGAAUAAGAAAAUAAUGAAAACAAAAUAUCAAGAUGAACAAAGCAAAAGAAGCAACAAGUAGUAUUAAAAAUUAAAGAAUAAGCUACUAUGCGAAUACUAACUAAUACUACAUAGGGAGAAGAUAGGCCGAUGGAAAUUGUUGAAAAAUUUAAUGUUGAUUAUUAGCUAUAUUAUCUUCCAGAUUUAUUUUUUUCAAAUCUACACAAGCAUCUCAGUUUCUAUAUCUGUGAACUGAUUUAUGGUUUCUGCCAGUUUUAAUGUUUGCUCAAGGUUUAAUUUUUGGAGUUCAUCUGUUGAUUCUUUUUCUGCUCCAGGGUAUGAAUGGGAAGAAUAAGGCACCUAUUGUUGGUUCAGCUGUCUUAAAUGUUGCUGAAUUUGCUGCCAAGAUAGAGGAGAGAGAAUUUAAACUGAACAUUCCACUGGUUGUUCCAGGGGGUGCUUCCGAUACUCGGCCCAUGCUUUGUGUAUGCUCCUUUUAUUUCAUGAGUUAAUUUCUUACAAUAACAUGUUAUUUGUACUGCUACCCUCCUCAAAGACCUAUUCCCCCUUGUUAUUAUUUUUACUUGACUUGAUCUCGACAUGUCAUGCAGAUAUCGCUUAGCUUGUUCGAACUAAGAGCUACCCAAGAGUCAACAGAGUUGGUUCAGAGGCCACUAGCUCCUGUCCAAUCUCCAGCACGGUCCGUAGAAACUCCACCAGUAGAAAAGGAUGAGCUUUCUGCGCUCAAAGCUGGCCUCAGAAAGGUUAAAAUAUUUACGGAGUAUGUAUCAACUCGGAGAGCAAAGAAAGCUUGUCGAGAAGAGGAGGGUAGUGAAGAAAGAAGCUCAGCGAGGAGCGAAGAGGGGGAAUAUGCAUAUCCUUUUGAUUCUGAGUCCAAUGAUGAGUAUGAAGAAGGAGAGUCAGAUGAGGCAAAGGAGGAUCCUACUGUUAGGAAGUCAUUUAGUUAUGGUCCAUUGGCUUAUGCGAAUUGUGCAGGAGUUUCUUUUCAUUCUAGUACAAGGGUCAACGGUGAGGGUGAGGAUUGGGUUUACUUUAGCAACCGUAGAUCAGAUGUGGGCUGCUCACAAAUGGAUGACCAGGUCACCUGUGCUUCUGAUCUUGUAGUUUUGCAGAAUUCAAAGCGCAGUAUCCUUCCUUGGAGGAAGAGGAAACUGAGCUUUAGAUCUCCUAAAUCGAAGGGGGAACCGUUGUUGAAGAAGGAUAAUGGGGAAGAAGGUGGAGAUGAUAUUGACUUCGAUCGUCGGCAGCUCAGUUCUGAUGAAGCUCUUUCAUUUGGGGUAAGAUCUAUAGCCUCUCUUUUAACAGACAUUCUACUUUGUAAUUUUGUCUGUACUGGCUAUCCAAAAGCCAAAAUUUGGAUUAGGAUUAUACUUUGAUCUUGUUGCUCAUACUACUUGGACAUCUGCAUAAAGCAUCCUUGCCUAGUAAUUAUAUGUAGAGUUCACGAAGAGCACUUUAGCAAAUAACAUUUCCAUUUCUAGAGUAUGUUGAAUCAAAUGAGAGUAGUUAGAAUUAGAACGUAUAUCUUAGGCAGUAAUUUUCUUACCUUAUACAUCUAAUGAGUCCAUAUUGGUGCUUGACGCUUUCUCAAAUAAUCUAAUAAAUCUUCUACUUUGAGGCCACUUCAUUAUUUUUUACAUGUCAAUUUGAUAUUGUCUAGCAGCUGUACAAGGUGGAGGAAGACUCGACUGCUAAUCGAUCUUCAGUAUCUGAGUUUGGUGAUGACAAUUUUGCUGUUGGCUGUUGGGAACAGAAAGAGAUAGUAAGUCGGGAUGGACACAUGAAGCUUCAAACUCAGGUGUUCUUUGCUUCUAUUGACCAGCGCAGUGAACAAGCUGCUGGAGAAAGUGCAUGCACAGCCCUUGUGGCUGUGGUUGCUGAUUGGUUGCAGAACAAUCGCGAUCUCAUGCCAAUUAAAUCACAGUUUGAUAGCUUAAUUAGAGAAGGUUCAUUAGAAUGGAGGAAACUUUGUGAAAAUGAGACAUACAGGGAACGGUUCCCUGACAAACACUUUGAUCUGGAGACGGUCCUUCAAGCCAAAAUUCGCUCCAUAUCUGUCGUGCCAGGGAAUUCCUUUGUCGGUUUUUUCCACCCUGAUGGGAUGGAUGAGGGAGGAUUUGAUUUCUUGCAUGGUGCCAUGUCAUUCGACAAUAUCUGGGAUGAAAUUAGCCGCGCUGGAUUACAGUAUGCUUCUGUGCGUGAACCACAAAUCUAUAUCGUCAGCUGGAACGAUCAUUUUUUUGUCCUGAAGGUUGAAGCUGAAGCUUACUACAUCAUCGAUACCUUAGGUGAAAGACUCUAUGAAGGCUGCAAUCAAGCUUACAUUCUGAAGUUUGAUAAGGAAACAACCAUCUAUAAACAGCCGGACACUACACAGUCCACAGAAGAAAAACCUGCUGUGGAUCAGCAAACUAUUUCUACCACAGCGGAGACAAAACUUAGCGAUGGUCCUCAUACAAAUGCAACGCAUGGUUCUCUAGAGAGUGAAGCUGUGAACGAAACAGAUGAACCAUCGAAGGCUGAGAGCGUAGAAGAAAUUAUCUGUCAAGGCAAAGAGUCAUGCAAAGACUACAUCAAGAGUUUUUUGGCUGCCAUACCAAUCAGGGAACUGCAGGCAGAUAUCAAGAAGGGUUUGAAAACAUCAACCCCUCUUCAUCAGCGGCUUCAGAUUGAACUUCAUUUCACUCAUUUACAACAACAACCACUCAUAACUACUCCGGCAAUAGAGAUAGCAACGGCUGCACAAGAACUGCCUGCAGUUGCAAUGACUGAGAUCUCGGUGUAAGAGUCUUUUCAACUGUAAAUUUUAAGAAGUGUGUGAUAGUUUCUAACUAGUUUUCGUUCUGUCGUUAGUGAUGUUUUGUGUUGCAUUAGAGUAAAGAUAGUGUUAAGUCUUUUAGGGAAGUAAAAGUUUGUAAAUCAACCUUCUGUCUUGAACUUAUAAUAGAUGGUUUUUAACUUCUGUUUUUGUACUAUCAUUGCAUACCUUACAUAAUUGGCAUACAUUAAUUAGAGCUCUUGUUUUGAAGAUGAUUUGUUCCAUAGAUGGUAAGAAAGUUAAAUAGAAUGUUCAAAAGUUGAUUUAUCUGAUUUAUGUUGUGUGCAUAGUAAGUUGAAGGGGAGAUCUUGGAGCAACGAUAAGUUGUAUUUGUCUGACCUAUUGGUUAUAGGUUCGAACUGUGUAGUAUUUGUGUGACCUAUAGGUUACAGAUUUGAACUGUGGAUAUCACAUCGCCUUGGGGUUCAACCCUUCCUCAGAUCUUGUGACCUAUAGGCUACAUGUUCGAGUUGUACAAUUAGUCACCGUUACUUGUGUUAAAAUAGACUGUUGACAUUACAUUUCUUUGGGUUUUCACCCUUCUUCAAAUUCCAACCAUUCGAGUCGUUGAAUUAGUCAUUGAUACUUGUGUCAGAGUAGGAUGCAGACAUAGCAUCCCCUUGGAGUCUAGUCCUUCUUUCACAUUUCUUUGGGUUUCGGCCCUUCCUCAAAUCCUACAACUGUUCGAGUCAUUGAUACUUGUGUCAGAGUAAGUUGUUAACAUCGCAUCCCAUUGUGGUCCAACACAAACCCAAUCCUUUUGUGUGAACGCGAGAUAUUUCGUGCACCGCAUUUUUCAGUUUCUAGUUUUGCAAUGGUGCUCAUGUGAUGUGAUGUUCCAUGUUACUUUUGUUAGCUGUAAAGUUGAGAUCCUUUCUUCCAAGUUAGUUCCUCGUGCACAUGAAGAGAUUCUUUCUUCAAUGUUCAACUUGAGAAUAUCAAGGCAUAUCCUUCCAAGCUUCAUAAUGAUGGUCAACAUAAGCGAGGCAGCUUGUGGCUUAGAAAUUAUGUAUAACAGAAUCGAAUAACAGAACAAACCUUAUCAAUAUUCGGAUGAUAGAUUUUGGUGAGGAAUCGAACCUGUAAAUAGUAUGCAACUUGAUCAAUGACUGAAUUAAUAGCAGCAACAAAAAUAGCACAAACUUAAUUCACAUUUUAAUUUUUACAGCAAGAACACACAUAAUCCCUACAACCAAUAUGUGAUCAACCCUACAUACUGCAUAUAGGUAAAAGCCCAUGAUCAUUUAGGAAGGGGCAACCCUCAUGCAAAACCAUGAAGGAAAUUUGUCUAUGAAUCCCCAAGCAUUUAUGGGCAAGCAACAUAGGGAAUCAUAGCAUCUCAAGACCUGAGGCAUCUUGUCCUCCAAGCGAGGUUCAAAAAUGUGUCAUGGUUGCAACUCAGUUCCCAGGAAAGUAAAUUCAAGAGAUGCUUAUAAGAUAAAAUAUGAGCCAAACUGAAAAAGUAUCUGCAGAGUUCAUGAUAUACUAUCAUCUUGGGAGUUAAAACCCCCUGAUACACUUAAUGUUGCCCCAGGAAAAACAGCCUGAAUUAAUAUAUUCAUCACGAACAGGAUUUAUAAGGGGGGAACCCACCCCCACCCCACCACACACACACAAAAUCACUUUUAAAAGAUUUGCACUUUGCCAUCAAUAUUCUUAAAAGAUGUGACGUGAUUCACGAAAACUCAAUAAUUUUUUUCUUCCCAAAUUAAAUUGUUUACUAAAUAUUUAAAAUUUAUAAGCUUUAAAUUCUGACUCGAUUUUUCCUUGUUUCACAACAAAGUUCCAAAAUUAGUGGUUUUCUAUUGAUUUCCUAAAGUGAAGCAAUGAUCACUACAAGUUGAGAAAAUUCAUGACUUUAUCUGAAAUAUUCCCAUCAUAUUAGGGUCCUAUUAGAAUAUACCUAACUUUAAGAAAUAUGCUUGAAUUACCAAUGCACUUGGACUUGACUCAUUUUUAUUUUAUUCUUUUGAAAUUGAAAAAAAAAUAUGAUAAUGUAUUUGAAGUGAUUGAAAAGGACUGUUUUGGUUUUUAGUUUGGUGUAUGCAAAGAACAUUCUAGCAAUUUAGAUAUAUUUAAAGAACUUUCUUAAUCUAUAGGAUCCAUUCAAAUCAAUGGCGGAAUCAGGUAGGGUUAAGGUGUUUAUUUGGAAACUUACACUAUUUGUACGUGAUUAAAAUUGUUGUAUGUAUAUAUAAUAGAUGUUGAGCCCUGUUAGAGUUUCUUCGUGUAUUUACUUUUCAUAUUUUGAACCCUAUAGUAAAAAUUCUAACUUGCCUCUGAUUUGACCUUGUAAGAAAUACUGCCUUCGCCCUUGCUUGUAGAAGUUUCGAACUCCAACACAUUGUGUUUUUUUAUUUUUUUCGUGUUUUAGCUAUGAAUAUUUUUUAUUUAGUUUUAUUGUUGCAUUAAAAAUAAUUAUUUUUUAUAUGCACACGUGGCAAAGGUUUUGACAAGAAUUAUUCUCACAUUAACUAUUCAUUAAGCCCAUUAAGUUCAUAAAUUUUGGAUUGGGCCUAUUUUCUUGAAGUGUCCACUGGACUUUGAAUGGUCUCUUAAAUCCAUUGUUCACUAGGUUACACAUGAUGAUUUACGAGAAUGACCUUAGAAGUGGACAGUCUUGAACUUUCGACCCCGCUUGUUUCAUGGAUAAAAUUUUAAGUUAAUUUUUUUUUAACGUUUGGCCUUUUUUGCUCAUGGAUCAAGCGGGGGCUAAAAAGUCCAACACCAUUAAUUUUCGAGGUCAUUGGGUGUAAUUUCCUAGUUGUAUCCAUAGUUCAUUUUGGUUAUACACAUGAGCAUUUAAGCUAUGUCUUAAUUUUAUAGUUUAUUUUUUGCACAUUUACUCUCUUUCGAACAACUUCAAAUGUUCUGAAGUUUCAUAUGAUUGAUGUUGAGACAUUUUCGUCUAAAGUUUACUUAAAUUUAACAAUUUUUGCCCUACUUCAAUCGUUUAUGUUUGUACUUACUUUUGACUAACAUCGAUCCUAUGUUAUUCAAAUAAGGUACCCCGUGAAAUUUUUACGCCAUAACUAGGAAGAUAAUUGUUCCAUUAUUUUUAUUUUUUUUAAUAAUAAGAUGCAAAAGCUCUUUCAAAUUUGCAUCAUAUUGGGCCAAAUCAGUUCAGAUUGUAGCCCACUAGCCCACCUCAUUGAUUCUUAGUGGGCUGAUUUUAAUCAAACAGCUAGUUGUUAAGCCCAAUCAUUUUGCCAAUAUUAAGAUUAUAUUCCGUCUGGUAGAAUGAUCAAGGUACGUGUAAGUUGGCUCAAACAUUACUGUUACAAAAGGUAAUUAAAAAGGACAAUGCCACAAGAAAUGUUUAGUCUUAAAUUAGCUAAAAGAUUUAUAUAUCUCUUGUACUGAUUCUAAGUCAACCAUAAACAUUAGUUACAUGUAGUCUAACAUAAAUGACAUCUCGAUGCACGAAGCGUUUCACGUUCGUGUAGAUCUCUAAGGACCACACUCCCAAAAGGUGUAAUGCAAAUAGUUUACUCUAACUCAAACAAACAUCAUUGGCUCCAUGGCUCGAACCUUAUGACUUAGUAAUACUGAAACAACUUUACUGAAGCUUCAAGAUGAUACUAUAUUUACAAGAAGAUGGCACCUAACUACAAACAGGACACUUGAUCAAUCCAUUUUCGUUACAUUUUGGACAUCGAAUUCGAUAUCCAUUAGUAUCUUUACCUUGAUCUUGAUCUAUGAUCUUGCAACAUCCAUGACAACUCAAACACAAAACAAAUCUAAUCCCACAACAACCAUUACAUGGAAAAUUUGAAGAAAUUAAAGGAAUGUCAUGUAAUAGUUUCUUUAAAAUCCCUUGUUCAUGAAGUCCAACAACUUCAUUAGCUCUACCAAUGUCUCUACCUUUAAUAAACAAUCUUGGAGGGACAAUUCUUCCUCCAAGAAUCCUCCACAACUCCUCUCUAUACUCGAUGUGCAUGGAUACAUCUCGUUCAUAGUAGACAACACGAAAGCUUUCUAGUAGGAAUCGAAUCAUGUUGCAAUCCUCAAACGUCUUCCUUAUCCCUCUUAGGCUCGUUGUGUAGAGAAUGAUCGCGUCUUUUCCUCCUUGUGGACACUUGUAUUCAAAAUCACACAAGAGUUUGUUUUCCUCCAUAGUGUUUGAUUCUUGAAAAAGAUGAUGAGUUUCAUAUUCACAUGUAGUCUCUUGAUGAUCAACAUCAUUUGCAAGAUCAAUGUUUUGACAAAGCAUCUUAUUGUCAUGUUGUGUGUUUGUUGUUAGUUGACUUUGGAGAUGUUUGGUUGGAUGAUUUACUUGGAAAACUAAUGUUGGAAGGGAUUUGAUUUUCCUUAGAAUUCCUCCAUUGAUGUUUUUCAUCUCCUCUUUUCCUUUCUUUGUUUGUUUCUACAAAGAAAAGAGUUGAGUAACACUUUUGUCUACAACUAAAUUUUGAAGGUAUUAAUGAAAGGGGGAUUGAAAGGGACUUUGAAAAAGCAAUGUACAAAAAAGGCUAUUUGUUACUAACUUUUUGAACUUUUUAAUGAUGACAACUAAAUUGACAAACAUAUGUAAGGAAAAAAAAAGAACAUGUUCAAAAGUUGGUUUAAAUUGACCAUAUCCAUAUGCCAAGGACUUAUUAGUAAUUUUACUAAGUACAAAUGGUUGAGGUGGACCUCUAUGAUUGGUUUAUGUGUAGAUAAUUUUACCAUGAAGAUCGGGACAAUUCAUCUGAAUCAAGUGUUUUUGACGUGGAAGGUAAUAUGUAUGUGAAAAUUUACUACCAUUUCAACAAAUUAGUACUAGAUCUAAGCUCACAAUUUUCAAGAUUCAAUGAGUAUAGCGUCAAGAACCUUAGAUGUCAAACGUAAAGUCCUGAAAUCACAUCCAUAUGGGGAGGACCUUUCAAUAAUUUCACCCGCGUACAAUGUCUAACGUGGACCUUUAUGAUUGGUUUAAACCAAGGAAAGAUGUAAAGUAUAACUAACUAACUAUUACGUUCAUCCAUCCCACUAUCUUUAGUUCAGUCCUUAUAUAUGUGUUAACAAGUUCAUUAAAUAAGUAUAAAUACUUGAUUCAGAACCAAGUUAACCAAACUAUCUUAGCAUCCAAAACUUGAACUCAUGUAAUUCAAUUCCUGAAUUCAUUAACUCAAGCAUUUUGAUGAUUUCACCAUGAAAAAUGGGCGCAAAUCUAAUUCUUCAACGGCAUGUCUAUCUGAACUCAAUAUAUUUUUGACGCUAAGCAUAGUAUAUACAUGCGAAAAUCCACUAAAAAUUAUGUUAGAUCUUCACCCAUGAUUCUUAAGUUAUAAUAAAUUGAAUGCUAAGAAACUUAAAGAUUGGAUUGAUCAUUAUAUUAAAAUUCUAAAUCCGCCGCAUGACAGACAAAGUAGAAGGUGUCAAUGGGACCAAAUUGGGUAUAGGGGACAAGGUGUGCCACAAGCAAUAAUACAAUCACAAGGGAUGCAAAGCAAUUUCUUUUUAUCAGUUAGAAAGUUUGGAGGAUGUAAAGCAAUAAUAGUGACUCAAAACAUCUUUUUGCUUGUUGAGCAUGGCCUGUUCUCAACAAGUCAAAAAGCCAAAAAGCAAAACCCCUUAUAUGAUGUUGAUUUGACAAGUUAACUAGAAACAUAAUCAAUAGUUUCUUUUGGAUAUAUUCCUCUUCUCAUAAAGAAAACUAAUUUAUAGUGGGGGCACUUUAGUCUCAAAAACUACACAACCCCUCUCCAAACAAGCAUCCAGUGGAAUCUAGGUAUCCACGACGUUGGAGUGAUAAGAGCACAACACGUGAUGUUUCAAUAAGGGAAAAACACGUCAAUGAUUCAAACUUUGGCGUGUGUUCUAUGGUUUUCCACAACAUGGUGUCAGGUACCCACAUUAGGACCUUGACUAGUUGGGAUUUGCACCACAUAAGAUAACAAAGUUUUUUCAUAUACAAGACUCGAACUCGAGACCUCUGGUAAAUGGAGGAGAGAUCCUAUCCAUCCAGAAACCUCUUAUUCAGACUCUUAAUAGUGCCACAUAACCUCAAGGAUGCAACAUAAAACACCUCCUUCAGGCUUAAUAGCAAAAGACAAGCAGCAUCACUUAGGGACAAAGAAACACAGUUCUCUUGAGUUUCUGAGUAAACCAGUACUAAUUAAGAGGUACAAGAAAAAGCCACAGAACACAUAAUACUUCACAAAAUACAAGUACUACACAUUAA